rnacentral:rRNA from 1 species
UACGUAGGUGGCAAGCGUUGUCCGGAAUUACUGGGUGUAAAGGGAGUGUAGGCGGGACUUUAAGUCAGAUGUGAAAUGUAUGGGCUCAACCCAUGAACUGCAUUUGAAACUGAAGUUCUUGAGUGAAGUAGAGGCAAGCGGAAUUCCUAGUGUAGCGGUGAAAUGCGUAGAUAUUAGGAGGAACACCAGUGGCGAAGGCGGCUUGCUGGGCUUUUACUGACGCUGAGGCUCGAAAGCGUGGGGAGCAAACAGGAUUAGAUACCCUGGUAGUCCACGCUGUAAACGAUGAUUACUAGGUGUGGGGGGAUUGACCCCUUCCGUGCCGGAGUUAACACAAUAAGUAAUCCACCUGGGGAGUACGACCGCAAGGUUGAA